rnacentral:rRNA from 1 species
UGGGGAAUUUUGGACAAUGGGCGCAAGCCUGAUCCAGCCAUGCCGCGUGCGGGAAGAAGGCCUUCGGGUUGUAAACCGCUUUUGUCAGGGAAGAAAUCUUCUGAGUUAAUACCUCGGGAGGAUGACGGUACCUGAAGAAUAAGCACCGGCUAACUACGUGCCAGCAGCCGCGGUAAUACGUAGGGUGCAAGCGUUAAUCGGAAUUACUGGGCGUAAAGCGUGCGCAGGCGGUUUUGUAAGACAGAGGUGAAAUCCCCGGGCUCAACCUGGGAACUGCCUUUGUGACUGCAAGGCUUGAGUGCGGCAGAGGGGGAUGGAAUUCCGCGUGUAGCAGUGAAAUGCGUAGAUAUGCGGAGGAACACCGAUGGCGAAGGCAAUCCCCUGGGCCUGCACUGACGCUCAUGCACGAAAGCGUGGGGAGCAAACAGGAUUAGAUACCCUGGUAGUCCACGCCCUAAAACGAUGUCAACU